GCCGGCGUGGUGGAACGGGCAGACACGGCUGCCUUAAAAGCGGCUGCUCUUCGGGGCGUGCGGGUUCGAAUCCCGCCGCCGGCA
rnacentral:tRNA from 1 species